rnacentral:rRNA from 1 species
AGUGUCUGGUGGGUAGUUUGACUGGGGCGGUCUCCUCCUAAAGAGUAACGGAGGAGCACGAAGGUUGGCUAAUCCUGGUCGGACAUCAGGAGGUUAGUGCAAUGGCAUAAGCCAGCUUGACUGCGAGCGUGACGGCGCGAGCAGGUGCGAAAGCAGGUCAUAGUGAUCCGGUGGUUCUGAAUGGAAGGGCCAUCGCUCAACGGAUAAAAGGUACUCCGGGGAUAACAGGCUGAUACCGCCCAAGAGUUCAUAUCGACGGCGGUGUUUGGCACCUCGAUGUCGGCUCAUCACAUCCUGGGGCUGAAGUAGGUCCCAAGGGUAUGGCUGUUCGCCAUUUAAAGUGGUACGCGAGCUGGGUUUAGAACGUCGUGAGACAGUUCGGUCCCUAUCUGCCGUGGGCGCUGGAGAACUGAGGGGGGCUGCUCCUAGUACGAGAGGACCGGAGUGGACGCAUCACUGGUGUUCGGGUUGUCAUGCCAAUGGCACUGCCCGGUAGCUAAAUGCGGAAGAGAUAAGUGCUGAAAGCAUCUAAGCACGAAACUUGCCCCGAGAUGAGUUCUCCCUGAGACUUUAGGUCUCCUGAAGGAACGUUGAAGACGAC